UACGUAUGGGGCAAGCGUUAUCCGGAAUUAUUGGGCGUAAAGAGUGCGUAGGUGGUUACCUAAGCGCAAGGUUUAAACUUGAGGCUCAACCUCAUUCUGCCUUGCGAACUGGGCUACUUGAGUGCAGGAGGGGAAAGCGGAAUUCCUAGUGUAGCGGUGAAAUGCGUAGAUAUUAGGAAGAACACCGGUGGGAAGGCGGCUUUCUGGACUGUAACUGACACUGAGGCACGAAAGCGUGGGGAGCAAACAGGAUUAGAUACCCCCGUAGUCCCUGAGCGGG
rnacentral:rRNA from 1 species